UCUCUGCUAGGAUUCGCUACUCAGGGUGUCACGCCCUGGGUGGGGAGGCGGGGCUUGAGCAGCAACUGUAGCAGCAGCCUCGGAUCCUACUCAACUGUUAGGCAUCGGGCGAGAUGAUGUCACUGUGGGGUGUUUGUAAUUUUCAACAUAUGUAGGAACAGAUCAAGGACAUGCGACCUAUUUCAGCCAGACGGCAAAAUUUAAUUUGAGAGAAGUACAUGGAGUCUUCUCAGUCUCAGAGGCAAAUCACCUCUGCCAAGAAAACCACAUUAUAAAUUCAUUUCGGGAUUGCCAUAAUCAGAAACUACUUAAAGAUAAUCAAAAUUCACUGCACAGAGCAACAUAUUCAGCAAUGGAGAUGCAGCCACCAGUGAGUCAGCAUAUUUACCUAGAUGUUCCCAUCCUUGGACUGGAGAAAUAAUCAUAGCACAGCUUAUGGAACUGUCUUUUUUUCCAAUCUCCAGUCAAUUAUAGGAAAAGCUGUGGAACCCAGAGUCUACUCCUUGGAAAAAGUAAUUGAAUUAUAUCUAAUUUAAUUGACAAUACUCUGUAAGGGAGACAUCCUAAAAUAUGUUGCCAUCAAUCUAACAAAGGGAACAACUCAAAUGUCGCCAUGGAUGAAGUGCAACAUGUCCACCAGCUGUGGCCUGAAUUUACAAUGUCCUUACAAAUUUUAUGCAAAUUGUGUUAAUUAUGUGUAAAUAAAACAUGCAAAUUUGCCACAGCC